ACACGUUCUGAGUGCUACAGUCCACAUACCUCUCUGGGGUGCUACUUGAAUCUUACAACCUGGGGCAACUAGAAUCCGCUCCGUGAAGAAAAUAACCGGGACUGAGGCUGUUACUUUUAUCCACAGCUUUAUUAGCUUAGCAUGGGUGGCAGAGCAGGAGGAGAGGCUCUCCUCUUCCCUCUUGGGAUCAGGUCACCCCUCUCCCACAGAUAUCUGCUUGCUCUGGGAAUCCACUGCACUCCUCAGCUCCACUGACUGACUGUUGCGUUCAGAUUCUCAAUCAGUUCAGAGACCCUCAGCAUAUGCGUUUAUACUACUUCUGUUGCUUGUUUUGCCUGCUUUGUGACCCUCCCAUCACCGUCCAAGCCACGUAGGUCAUGGGUACUUUUCCAUGUUACUUGCGGUCACUUGCGUGUACUGUCUCUGCCAGAUGGUGACUUCUCAGUUCACAGUGUUCAGGCCAGCAACCUCCACAGCAACCUCCCAGUACCGCAUUCACUGCCAUGUCACACUGAUCUCCUGUCUCUUUUUUACUUGCAGUUGUUCAGCCAACACUGCCUUUAUUAAAAGUCUCGUUUCUCCUACAGUACACUUCACCUCGGUAAGAAUCUUGCUAACUUAACUGUUUGAAGUGAGGUAAAUUUUUCUUAAUUCAUUCCUUCUCUCUAAUGAUCACUGUCAUACAGAAACAGAUCCUAUUUAUAUUUUCCCUUGCAAAAUAACAUUUCAGUGACAUGUACUUGGUGACUGAUGCUGGACCAAACGUCUGGAUUUGAUAUAGAUUCACGCUGUAAUGAACUACUGAAGCAGACAACAACAGGCAAACAGGUUCUUAGUUAUCCAUAUGUAGAACUACUUAAAGGGCUAAUCCUCAAAUAAAUAUGCUAGCAUCAGUAAGAAAUACUGAAACACUGUUAAAAUUGCUCAAAUCCCAAGGCACCUUUUAAGUUCAUAUAGAGCACUGAAACUGUAAGUUAAGAAAAUUAUAUGCUCAGGGAAAAAAAGAAAUCCACUAUUCAUUUCCCUGUCACAGAUCUUCUGGAUUUAAGGAAGGGUCACAGACCAUGUCACUGAAGGAAGGCAGAGAACAGGAAGCAGAGCAUGGUGAAGGGUUUUUUUCAGGGAUCCCAGUUCAGUCCUAUGCGGGGCAUCCUGAAUUAACAUCCUGAGUGAUGUUUGGCUGCUGGCCAUAGAAAGAAUAAAAUAAAUCAAUAACUUGCAGAUAACAACUCACCAACUAAGACAGAUUCAAGUCACUUUCAAGUAGUGAACAGUACCACCACAAAUUAAAUGGUUUGUUUUUGUUUUUUUUUUGUCAGGCCUUACUCAUCUUUCAUAUCAUGCAUGAGGUAAAGACCAAUACUGAAGAAAUACCUAAAAUUAGGCCAUCCCGUGUCCUGGUCCCUGGAUAUCUAUCUGUAAUCUCGUGUACAUUAGAUUUAAAAGCCAAAGUAAAUGUGGGGCAGAAGCAAAGCUACUGAAAUUAGUUCUGCAUGUCCAGAAUAUCCCCUUUUCUUGCCAUGCUUCUACUCCAUAUUUCUUAAGACUGCAGCUUGUGGUCUUGAUUAAGGUAAGGCCUAAGAAAUUCUGAUUAAGAUACAGACUCUUGAUGUUAAGAGGUCUCUGGUACACAGUUGGGUCUUGUUCUUGUUGGCACCUUUCCCCCUUAUCACUGUAAGAUUCCUCCCACUGUUUUUCCAUCAUCUUUCUCCCACUGUUACUUCUGCAGUCAAUUCCCUUCUUCCAACGUUUAGGUCUUCCCAUUCCUUCAUAUUAGCUUCAUGACUGCUUUUAGUGCAGCGGGAGGUUUGCUCAUGUGGGUAGUACCUGGCAUUUUUAGGAGGGCUAUAUGAGAGGUACUUAGAUUUAUAUGUUGAGUUGCAAAGUAGU